rnacentral:lncRNA from 1 species
AAGGAGCCAGUGACGAAGAAUGGACACACACACGUGCACAUUUAUAAACAAGAGGACUGUGCUAACGUCCACUCGACUGGACGUUAAGCAACAGAUCCGCUUGGUCCUCUCGCGUUCCACUUCUUUCGCCCCGCGCGAUCUUUGAUUUUUCUGGCGAUCCCACCACUUCUCCCGUGGUAGAAAAAACAUGAUAAAAAUAUUGUAGGAGGUGGCAGUCGAACUCACUACAUCUUGGUUCAUUAUCAGUUGUCAUAUCCACCUGGUCAGAUUUCAAUUUGUGAUUACAAAGUAGAUCGAUAAAAAUUUAUACUGGUAUAUACGCGACUAGAAGAACAAGCCAUUUCUUUUCUUUCCUUUUACUAAUUUUCUUCCCUUUUGUACAUAAUAAUCCGUGCAUCAUAGACAUGAUAACUCACGCACCGCCAGUGGCGGAGCUUGACAAGAAUGUCCGGGGGGGCAAUGACGAAGAAAAAUUUAACCAACGGCAGCAAACAAGAACUUGGAGCCUCCAGGCAAAUUUGUACUUAUAUUGCCCAUAUUGCUCGCAAAAUACAUCUAUAAUUAGCAAUAUAUACUUUAUAAGAGAACUAAUUACACCAAAAUAUACUACUUGUCUACUUGUACCACUCAGCCUUCAAACUUCAAAGACAUUCUGUGAGCCAACUAAGAAUCACAAAAUUACUAAUUGCUAAAUUACUAGUCAGACUCGUACAUGUACAGGGGUGCUGCCCCCAAUUUACUCGUACAGGCAGGCAAGAGGCAACACUAUAAAAGGGGAUCCAGGUUUCAAGUAAUCAAGUUGUAAUUUGAGCUGGGUAGAUGGUACUUACAGAAUCCAGUAGCCAAAUUUGUAUGGAGGGCGGCCGGCGACGAGCCGAUGGCUUGCCGGCCGGCGGACAUCGACGACCACCUUCCAGUGGCGAGGAGAC